GAUGAAGAACGCAGCGAAAUGCGAUAAGUAGUGUGAAUUGCAGAAUUCAGUGAAUCAUCGAAUCUUUGAACGCACAUUGCGCCCUUUGGUAUUCCUUAGGGCAUGCCUGUUCGAGCGUCAUUUAAACCUUCAAGCUCAGCUUGGUGUUGGGUGACUGUCCGCUUCACCGCGGACUCGCCUCAAAAUUAUUGGCGGCCGGUACAUUGGCUUCGAGCGCAGCAGAAACGCGAACUCGGGCCCGUCGUAUUGGCUCCCAGAAGCUAUCUUCGCAAUUUUGACCUCGGAUCAGGUAGGGAUACCCGCUGAACUUAAGCAUAUCAAUAAGCGGAGGA
rnacentral:misc_RNA from 1 species